ensembl:lincRNA Gm12037 predicted gene 12037
UGUCAGGAUACCAUUACAGGAGUCUGAGCCUUAGCGUGAAAGAGGAGUGUAUUCCCUAGGAAGUAUUACACAAAGAAGGACUGGAGACUCCAUUACCCCAAACUAAGCAAGUGACGUAAAAUAGCUAAGGACAGAAACUGUGUCCACUUCAAGUUGCGGCUUGGCCGGGCACCUGCUGAAGAAUGCUUCCGGACCCCGACACUAGCCUGCGCUUCCCUGGGGACAGAGGGUUGGAAUUCUCUGAAAGAAGCCAUACCAGGUCUUCCUCUUUGGAGUCCUCCACCUUCUCUCGACCUCACUCCUGAUC